rnacentral:rRNA from 1 species
UACAGAGGGUGCGAGCGUUAAUCGGAAUUACUGGGCGUAAAGCGCACGUAGGUGGCGACGUAUGUCGGUUGUGAAAGCCCCGGGCUCAACCUGGGAAUUGCAUCCGAAACUGCGUUGCUGGAGUACGGAAGAGGAAGGCGGAAUUCCCGGUGUAGCGGUGAAAUGCGUAGAUAUCUGGAGGAACACCGGUGGCGAAGGCGGCAUCCUGGACCGGUAUUGACGCUGAGGCGCGAAAGCCAGGGGAGCAAACGGG